UGCGUUUACCUGCAGUAAUCUUCGGUGAGCUGGUAUAGAGCUAUGACCCGGAGGUAUCCGAAUGGGGCAACCCGAUAGACUAAUAGUCUAUCAUUAUAUGCUGAAUACAUAGGCAUAUAAGGCGACACCCGCUGAACUGAAACAUCUUAGUAAGCGGAGGAAAAGAAAUCAAAGAGAUUCCCUGUGUAGCGGCGAGCGAAAGGGGAACAGCCUAAACCAUAUUUUUAAUAUGGGGUUGUAGGGUCGAUAACAUGGGAUCUUAAGUUUUAGUUGAAUACUUCUGGAAAGUUGAACGAUACAGGGUGAUAGUCCCGUAAACGAAAAAACAAAAGACGCUAAUCGAUACCUGAGUAGGGCUAGACACGUGAAACCUAGUCUGAAUCUGGGGAGACCACUCUCCAAGGCUAAAUACUAGUCAAUGACCUAUAGUGAACCAGUACUGUGAAGGAAAGGUGAAAAGAACCCUUGUUAAGGGAGUGAAAUAGAACCUGAAACCAGUAGCUUAUAAGCGGUCGGAGACCUAUAACUCUUCGGAGUGAUGGUUGACGGCG
rnacentral:rRNA from 1 species